rnacentral:tRNA from 1 species
AGGAGGUUAGCUCAGUUGGUAGAGCAGGUGGCUUUUAACCACUUGGCCACAGGUUCAAGUCCUGUACCUCCUACCA